CUGCUGGAAGCCGAGGCUACCUUGUCCACAGACGGGAACAGUUCUCUUCAUGAAGGUCAGAGAUAAGUGGGUGCUGCCAUGGUGGACAACACAAUGUCAUCUAGGAUGGCUGAACCUCAACCCCCCAGUACAUCAGUGCCGCAGAUGCCUUUGCCAUCUCUUGGAUGCCCUGAUGAAGCCAACAACUGUGAGUACUAUUCAUUGCUCAGGAUAUCAGGAGGGAAGAGAUUCAGUGACAUGGGGCAAUAACGAAGCAGAUCAAGUGGCUCGAAAAAUGGUUAUGCAGGAGCCCAUCCUGGUUGCAGGCCUGCAAGAGACAGCCACUGAGAACUAGGAUUGGACUAAGGGAUGGCCUCACUUAGAAAAGGCCCAAAUUGCUUAAAAGAUAAAGGACAAUGGCACACUUGAGGGGAAAGCUAUACUCCCCAGAGAACAAAGAAAAGACUCACUUUGCCAAAUACAGAAAUGGACUCAUUUAGGAGAUAAAAAGUUUGUCCAAGUAGUUAAGUGUAUGUAAUAGACUUUAAGAUUUUAGCCAGAGAGGCAGUAGAAAGUAUAAGGUAUGUCAAUAAGUGAAUGCUUAGCAAGCAAACAGGGCAAAGAGACCUAGAGAGUUUGGUGAAAAGUCGAAGUGAACUUCACUGAGAUAAAACCAGAAAAAUAUAAUCACAAGUAUCUCCUAGUGCUUGUAGAUACUUUUUCUGGAAUAGAUAGAAGCUUUCCUCACCAAACGAGAGACGGCCUCUGCAAUCAUCAAGAAGAUACUGGAAGAAAUCUUCCCCGGAUUUGGAAUGCCCAAGGUAAUCUGGUCAGACAAAGGCCCUACUUUCGUUGCCAAGGUAAGCCAGGGUGUGGCCAAGUAUUUAGAGGUCAAUUGGAAAUUACAUUGUAUCUACAGACCUCAAAGUUCAGGACAGGUAGAGUAAAUAAAUAAAAUUUU
rnacentral:lncRNA from 1 species